CCGGUGUGGUGGAAUAGGCAGACGCGACGGACUCAAAAUCCGUUGAGGGCAACCUCGUGGGGGUUCGACUCCCCCCACCGGCACCAC
rnacentral:tRNA from 1 species